rnacentral:lncRNA from 1 species
GCCUUCGGUAUUAUUGAAAAUGGUCAUUCAUGGCUAUUUUCGGCAAAAUGGGGGUUGUGUGGCCAUUGAUCAUCGACCAGAGGCUCAUACACCUCACUACACAUAUGUUUCCUUGCCAUAGAUCACAUUCUUGGAUUUAUGGUGGAGACCAUUUCUUGGUCAAAAAUCCGUAGGUGUUAGCCUUCAGUGUCAUUGAAAAUGGUCGUUCAUGGCUAUUUUGACAAAAAGGGGGUUGUGUGGCCAUUGAUCAUCGACCAGAGGCUCGUACACUCACCCACAUAUGUUUCCUUGCCAUAGAUCACAUUCUUGGAUUUCUGGUGGAGACCAUUUCUUGGUCAAAAAUCCGUGGUGUUAGCCUUCGGUAUUAUUGAAAAUGGUCGUUCAUGGCAUUUUCGACAAAAUGGGGGUUGUGUGGCCAUUUAUCAUCGACCAGAGGCUCGUACACCUCACCCCACAUAUGUUUCCUUGCCAUAGAUCACAUUCUUGGAUUUCUGGUGGAGACCAUUUCUUGGUCAAAAAUCCGUAGUGUUAGCCUUCGGUAUUAUUGAAAAUGGUCGUUCAUGGCUAUUUUCGACAAAAAUGGGGGUUGUGUGGCCAUUAUCAUCGACCAGAGGCUCGUACACCUCACCCACAUAUGUUUCCUUGCCAUAGAUCACAUUCUUGGAUUUCUGGUGGAGACCAUUUCUUGGUCAAAAAUCCGAUGUGUUAGCCUUCGGUAUUAUUGAAAAUGGUCGUUCAUGGCUAUUUUCGACAAAAAUGGGGGUUGUGUGGCCAUUGAUCAUCGACCAGAGGCUCGUACACCUCACCCCACAUAUGUUUCCUUGCCAUAGAUCACAUUCUUGGAUUUCUGGUGGAGACCAUUUCUUGGUCAAAAAUCCGUAGUGUUAGCCUUCGGUAUUAUUGAAAAUGGUCGUUCAUGGCUAUUUUCGACAAAAAUGGGGGUUGUGUGGCCAUUGAUCAUCGACCAGAGGCUCAUACACCUCACUACACAUAUGUUUCCUUGCCAUAGAUCACAUUCUUGGAUUUAUGGUGGAGACCAUUUCUUGGUCAAAAAUCCAUAGGUGUUAGCCUUCGUGUAUUGAAAAUGGUCGUUCAUGGCUAUUUUCGACAAAAAUGGGGGUUGUGUGGCCAUUGAUCAUCGACCAGAGGCUCGUACACCUCACCCACAUAUGUUUCCUUGCCAUAGAUCACAUUCUUGGAUUUCUGGUGGAGACCAUUUCUUGGUCAAAAAUCCGUAGGUGUUAGCCUUCGGUAUUAUUGAAAAUGGUCGUUCAUGGCUAUUUUCGACAAAAAUGGGGGUUGUGUGGCCAUUGAUCAUCGACCAGAGGCUCAUACACCUCACCCCACAUAUGUUUCCUUGCCAUAGAUCACAUUCUUGGAUUUCUGGUGGAGACCAUUUCUUGGUCAAAAAUCCGUAGGUGUUAGCCUUCGGUAUUAUUGAAAAUGGUCGUUCAUGGCUAUUUUCACAAAAAUGGGGGUUGUGUGGCCAUUGAUCAUCGACCAGAGGCUCGUACACCUCACCCACAUAUGUUUCCUUGCCAUAGAUCACAUUCUUGGAUUUCUGGUGGAGACCAUUUCUUGGUCAAAAAUCGUAGUGUUAGCCUUCGGUAUUAUUGAAAAUGGUCGUUCAUGGCUAUUUUCGACAAAAUGGGGGUUGUGUGGCCAUUGAUCAUCGACCAGAGGCUCGUACACCUCACCCCACAUAUGUUUCCUUGCCAUAGAUCACAUUCUUGGAUUUCUGGUGGAGACCAUUUCUUGGUCAAAAAUCCGUAGUGUUAGCCUUCGGUAUUAUUGAAAAUGGUCGUUCAUGGCUAUUUUCGACAAAAAUGGGGGUUGUGUGGCCAUUGAUCAUCGACCAGAGGCUCGUACACCUCACCCCACAUAUGUUUCCUUGCCAUAGAUCACAUUCUUGGAUUUCUGGUGGAGACCAUUUCUUGGUCAAAAAUCCGUAGGUGUUAGCCUUCGGUAUUAUUGAAAAUGGUCGUUCAUGGCUAUUUUCGACAAAAAUGGGGGUUGUGUGGCCAUUGAUCAUCGACCAGAGGCUCGUACACCUCACCCCACAUAUGUUUCCUUGCCAUAGAUCACAUUCUUGGAUUUCUGGUGGAGACCAUUUCUUGGUCAAAAAUCCGUAGUGUUAGCCUUCGGUAUUAUUGAAAAUGGUCGUUCAUGGCUAUUUUCGACAAAAAUGGGGGUUGUGUGGCCAUUGAUCAUCGACCAGAGGCUCGUACACCUCACCCACAUAUGUUUCCUUGCCAUAGAUCACAUUCUUGGAUUUCUGGUGGAGACCAUUUCUUGGUCAAAAAUCCGUAGUGUUAGCCUUCGGUAUUAUUGAAAAUGGUCGUUCAUGGCUAUUUUCGACAAAAAUGGGGGUUGUGUGGCCAUUGAUCAUCGACCAGAGGCUCGUACACCUCACCCCACAUAUGUUUCCUUGCCAUAGAUCACAUUCUUGGAUUUCUGGUGGAGACCAUUUCUUGGUCAAAAAUCCGAUGUGUUAGCCUUCGGUAUUAUUGAAAAUGGUCGUUCAUGGCUAUUUUCGACAAAAAUGGGGGUUGUGUGGCCAUUGAUCAUCGACCAGAGGCUCAUACACCUCACCCACAUAUGUUUCCUUGCCAUAGAUCACAUUCUUGGAUUUCUGGUGGAGACCAUUUCUUGGUCAAAAAUCCGUAGGUGUUAGCCUUCGGUAUUAUUGAAAAUGGUCGUUCAUGGCUAUUUUCGACAAAAAUGGGGGUUGUGUGGCCAUUGAUCAUCGACCAGAGGCUCGUACACCUCACCCCACAUAUGUUUCCUUGCCAUAGAUCACAUUCUUGGAUUUCUGGUGGAGACCAUUUCUUGGUCAAAAAUCCGUAGGUGUUAGCCUUCGGUAUUAUUGAAAAUGGUCGUUCAUGGCUAUUUUCGACAAAAAUGGGGGUUGUGUGGCCAUUGAUCAUCGACCAGAGGCUCAUACACCUCACCCACAUAUGUUUCCUUGCCAUAGAUCACAUUCUUGGAUUUCUGGUGGAGACCAUUUCUUGGUCAAAAAUCCGUAGUGUUAGCCUUCGGUAUUAUUGAAAAUGGUCGUUCAUGGCUAUUUUCGACAAAAAUGGGGGUUGUGUGGCCAUUGAUCAUCGACCAGAGGCUCGUACACCUCACCCCACAUAUGUUUCCUUGCCAUAGAUCACAUUCUUGGAUUUCUGGUGGAGACCAUUUCUUGGUCAAAAAUCCGUAGUGUUAGCCUUCGGUAUAUUGAAAAUGGUCGUUCAUGGCUAUUUUCGACAAAAAUGGGGGUUGUGUGGCCAUUGAUCAUCGACCAGAGGCUCGUACACCUCACCCCACAUAUGUUUCCUUGCCAUAGAUCACAUUCUUGGAUUUCUGGUGGAGACCAUUUCUUGGUCAAAAAUCCGUAGUGUUAGCCUUCGGUAUUAUUGAAAAUGGUCGUUCAUGGCUAUUUUCGACAAAAAUGGGGGUUGUGUGGCCAUUGAUCAUCGACCAGAGGCUCGUACACCUCACCCACAUAUGUUUCCUUGCCAUAGAUCACAUUCUUGGAUUUCUGGUGGAGACCAUUUCUUGGUCAAAAAUCCGUAGUGUUAGCCUUCGGUAUUAUUGAAAAUGGUCGUUCAUGGCUAUUUUCGACAAAAAUGGGGGUUGUGUGGCCAUUGAUCAUCGACCAGAGGCUCGUACACCUCACCCCACAUAUGUUUCCUUGCCAUAGAUCACAUUCUUGGAUUUCUGGUGGAGACCAUUUCUUGGUCAAAAAUCCGUAGUGUUAGCCUUCGGUAUUAUUGAAAAUGGUCGUUCAUGGCUAUUUUCGACAAAAAUGGGGGUUGUGUGGCCAUUGAUCAUCGACCAGAGGCUCAUACACCUCACCCCACAUAUGUUUCCUUGCCAUAGAUCACAUUCUUGGAUUUCUGGUGGAGACCAUUUCUUGGUCAAAAAUCCGUAGUGUUAGCCUUCGGUAUUAUUGAAAAUGGUCGUUCAUGGCUAUUUUCGACAAAAAUGGGGGUUGUGUGGCCAUUGAUCAUCGACCAGAGGCUCGUACACCUCACCCACAUAUGUUUCCUUGCCAUAGAUCACAUUCUUGGAUUUCUGGUGGAGACCAUUUCUUGGUCAAAAAUCCGUAGUGUUAGCCUUCGGUAUUAUUGAAAAUGGUCGUUCAUGGCUAUUUUCGACAAAAAUGGGGGUUGUGUGGCCAUUGAUCAUCGACCAGAGGCUCAUACACCUCACCCCACAUAUGUUUCCUUGCCAUAGAUCACAUUCUUGGAUUUCUGGUGGAGACCAUUUCUUGGUCAAAAAUCCGUAGGUGUUAGCCUUCGUAUUAUUGAAAAUGGUCGUUCAUGGCUAUUUUCGACAAAAAUGGGGGUUGUGUGGCCAUUGAUCAUCGACCAGAGGCUCGUACACCUCACCCCACAUAUGUUUCCUUGCCAUAGAUCACAUUCUUGGAUUUCUGGUGGAGACCAUUUCUUGGUCAAAAAUCCGAUGUGUUAGCCUUCGGUAUUAUUGAAAAUGGUCGUUCAUGGCUAUUUUCGACAAAAAUGGGGGUUGUGUGGCCAUUGAUCAUCGACCAGAGGCUCAUACACCUCACCCACAUAUGUUUCCUUGCCAUAGAUCACAUUCUUGGAUUUAUGGUGGAGACCAUUUCUUGGUCAAAAAUCCGUAGGUGUUAGCCUUCGUGUCAUUGAAAAUGGUCGUUCAUGGCUAUUUUCGACAAAAAUGGGGGUUGUGUGGCCAUUGAUCAUCGACCAGAGGCUCGUACACCUCACCCCACAUAUGUUUCCUUGCCAUAGAUCACAUUCUUGGAUUUCUGGUGGAGACCAUUUCUUGGUCAAAAAUCCGUAGUGUUAGCCUUCGGUAUUAUUGAAAAUGGUCGUUCAUGGCUAUUUUCGACAAAAAUGGGGGUUGUGUGGCCAUUGAUCAUCGACCAGAGGCUCGUACACCUCACCCCACAUAUGUUUCCUUGCCAUAGAUCACAUUCUUGGAUUUCUGGUGGAGACCAUUUCUUGGUCAAAAAUCCGUAGUGUUAGCCUUCGGUAUUAUUGAAAAUGGUCGUUCAUGGCUAUUUUCGACAAAAAUGGGGGUUGUGUGGCCAUUGAUCAUCGACCAGAGGCUCGUACACCUCACCCCACAUAUGUUUCCUUGCCAUAGAUCACAUUCUUGGAUUUCUGGUGGAGACCAUUUCUUGGUCAAAAAUCCGAAUGUGUUAGCCUUCGGUAUUAUUGAAAAUGGUCGUUCAUGGCUAUUUUUGACAAAAUGGGGGUUGUGUGGCCAUUGAUCAUCGACCAGAGGCUCAUACACCUCACUGCACAUAUGUUUCCUUGCCAUAGAUCACAUUCUUGGAUUUAUGGUGGAGACCAUUUCUUGGUCAAAAAUCCGUAGGUGUUAGCCUUCGGUAUUAUUGAAAAUGGUCGUUCAUGGCUAUUUUUGACAAAAAUGGGGGUUGUGUGGCCAUUGAUCAUCGACCAGAGGCUCGUACACCUCACCUCACAUAUGUUUCCUUGCCAUAGAUCACAUUAUCGGAUUUCUGGUGGAGACCAUUUCUUGGUCGAAAAUCCAUACGUGUUAGCCUUCGGUAUUAUUGAAAAUGGUCGUUGAUCACUAUUUUCGACAAAAAUGGGCGUUGUGUGGCCAUUGAUCAUUGGCCAGAGGCCCAUACACCUCACCCCACAUAUGUUUCCUUGCCAUAGAUCACAUUCUUGGAUUUAUGGUGGAGACCAUUUCUUGGUCAAAAAUCCGUAGGUGUUAGCCUUCAGUGUCAUUGAAAAUGGUCGUUCAUGGCUAUUUUCGACAAAAAUGGGGGUUGUGUGGCCAUUGAUCAUCGACCAGAGGCUCGUACACCUCACCUCAUGUUGGGGACUUGUUCUCAAAUGCUAAGAGUUAAGAACAAGGCAACAUAAAAAGUGUUAAAUGUUAAAGUCCUUCGUCCUUCAAAACAUUAUGUCCCUUCGGAUAUAAUGAAUUCCGGACGAAGGUUAUGAAGGAAAAACCCUUCGCAAGCUCGAUAGAUGAUAAGAAAGAAUUCAUACAUGAAAUACGAAUAAUAAUACAGAUAUUAUCAUCAACUCAUUUUUAUUUGCAUUAUCAUAUUUGUAAUAACAAAUUAUAAAUGUACCUUCGAAUUGACGGAAAGCAAAGGUACAAGCGUGAUGUAAAAAGCGAAUGCCAAGUCAGCCUGAACAGUACGGGAGUACUGUUCAUCUAUUUAUAGGCGCGGGACGCAGCCCGUGUAGAAUUACAUUAAUGCCCUUUACAUUUAUCAAUAACUCUAUAAUAAUUCUUCGAGGUCUAAUUUGGCUUUUCAUCUUUAAGUCGGUUCCUCUUUUCUGCCGUCAUGCCGAAGCUUUUCUGCGCAUAGCUUCGUGAUCAUCUUAUCCUUCGUCAUGAUCGCCUUCCGUCCCACUCAAGCUUCGUCUUGACCAGACACUUGUAUACCCAUAAUCUGACGUCCGAAGAUACCUGUUCACAUAUUUCACUUGGAAAACAUUGUCAAAUCAUGUUUUUGAGGACCUUCGGAAGCCGAAGGCCCCCAACAGUAGCCCCUCGCAAUAUUAAUUUUGCUGGAAUGAUAAAUUCAUAUUGCGACAUGGACGAAGGCUUUAAGCCGAAGGUCCGAAAAAACACCUUCCCUUUGCUAGAAUAGCAACAGUCUUUGACAAGCGGGACCCUCCAGUUUUCGACGCACUGGGUGUAUAAAUAAAAGCUCAACACGAUUUUAUUUGGCACGCUCUCUUGCCAUCUGCUCUUGCUCACCCGACUUUUAGCCUGUGCGCAACAACUAUUGCUUGGCUUUUUUAGACUUUUAAGCUUCGGUUCUGGGAGCACUUUCUCAGCGUUUGCGAAGAUGUCUGAAGAUAAGAAAGCUGUUGCUGAAUCAAAGCUGAGCCUUUCUGAGGAGAUGCAUCUCGGCUUUCUUCAGUCAAUAGCAAAGACCAAUACGGAGAAGAUCACUAGGGAGACCUUGGAGGGUUUAUCUGAAGAUACUGGUGUGACAGUUAUGAAGUAGAAAGUGGGGGUGAAGACUCCGAAGAUCGACCGUGGCGACCAAGUCACACAGUCUUCGGAAAAUCGAGCAUUAAACAGAGUCAUCUUGAUACCAUGAAGGGAAGGUAUUUUCGAGACAUGUCUAUUGUGAGGGCAGAUGAUGGGGAGAAGACUGUGCCUACUCCCGAAGAGAAUGAAGUCGUAAUCUUCCGAAGCUUCUUGAAGGCUGGACUGCGAUUUCCCUUGAGCAAUUUUGUCGUGGAAGUACUGAAGAUAUUUGAAGUCUACUUUCACCAACUUACUCCCGAAUCAAUCAUAAGAAUGGGCAUUUUCGUCUGGGCCGUGAGGAGCCAAGGUUUAGAACCAAAUGCAAAAAGUUUCUGCAAUAUACAUGAGUUAUUGUACGAGACGAAACCUUGGGGUAAAGAGCAGUAUCACAACAAUUUUGGCUGCUACAGCUUCGGCGCCCGAUUUGGGUCAAGCUGUCCCGUGCCAACCUUUCGGAAAAGAUGGCCCGACAACUGGAUGACAGAAUGGUUUUAUGUGAAGAAUGAUUUAAAAACUCGGGAAGAUAUUAAAGGUAUCAUUAUGCGCCCUAUUUGGCAACGCUUCGGCCUUCGGAGGCCGAAGGUGGAGAUGGAUGAAACAGCCGAAGAAUGCCAAAGAGCCUUCGGCGCAGUGUGCUCUUUUAUUGGGACAAGGGAUUUAAUGCAAGAACACAUUGCCUUCAGAGUAUGGCCACUUGCAGAUAACUGGGAAAUGCCGAAGGAAACCGUCAAGGAACCUGAUGAAGGUGGACUAGUCAGGCUAAAAUACACAUUCAAGUACGGAGAUAAGUUCGUUGAGCCAGAUGAUGACUGGUUGAAAAGUAUUGAGGCCAUAAGCGAUGAAUUGCUUGGAUUAUACUCAAAAGCCGAAGACACUGCACUGUCAGCAGCCUUCGGAGGCCGAAAGAAGAAGAGACUCAAUCGAGUAUUUGAUGCAAUUGGGUUUGUCUACCCUGACUAUCGCUAUCCAACGCGGGGUCAAAAAAGAAAGAAUACACCUUCUGCGAAGGAAGUUGCUUCGGCCGCUCCUAGCGAGCCGGCGCCGAAGAGAAAAAGGGUCAAGGUUCUCACACACCGGCCACGCUAUAUUGAACUGGCCACAGUGCCUGAAUAUGUCGGUGAAACCUCUGCGGCCACCGAAGCCAAGGAGCCUACUCUCCUACCGAAUGUUGAAGAGCCAAUUAUAAUACCGGAAAUGAAGAAAAUAGAAGAACCGGAGGCUACGGAAACAAGGACACAUGAAAUUUUAAGUCCUUUAGCAAAAAUUGAGGCAGCAAAAAGCCAAAAGGGUCCAGCAGUGACCCCCAAAAGAAAAAGGAUGGUUAAUGUGCUGGAUGUUUUGGAGACAAUUAAGUCUUCAAGUAUGACUCCGAAGAAAAUUGUUGAAACUUCCGAAGUGCACACUGAAACCUUUGCUGCCGAAGCUUCAAAGAACCAGGCAGAAACUGAAGCUGGGCCUUCAGAGCCCGCCAAGGUGAAAUCCUUGGAAGCUGAAGAAACAGAAAUAUCAGAGCCAAUUUUGGUUGAAGAAACUGGUGCUGCUGCCCCCGAAGCAUCCUCCAAAGCCCUCGAUUAUAUUGUACGACAUGCUUCGGGAAAAAGAUUAUCUGAAGAAGAGAUUUUUGAAGCUAAUCACUAUGCCCGAGAACUGAAGUAUCCAAAGGGGGCCUUAGUAUUCAAUGGCACAGACGAAGAUGACUUCUUAUACUGCCUCCCAGACAACAAAGAAUUAUCUGUCUGCCGGGAGAUGGCUAGAAGUAUGGGGUUCCCGAAGCUUGAAGCUGGCCUCUGCGCGAUGACGAAGGACGAUCUUGCAGAUAGCCUCGCAUAUAAUAGUCUGAAGGUAUGAAAAUUGUAUAUUUGGAAGCUUAUAAAUUUUGAAUUAUCCUUUUAUUCUUAUACUAAUUCUUUUCAUAUAGGGUUUAAUUCUUAGCAACGCUUUGAGAGCGCAAAAGAAUGCCGAAGACGAGAGCUAUAAUAUCGCUUUCAACAACCUACGAACAGAGGUUAUUAAGCUGAGGAACGAAGCUUUGGAAAAAGAUAAAAUUCUGCUUACAUUGGUGGAUAAGAUAAAGGAAGACGAAGCUACUUCUAAAGCUCAAGCUGAGGCUCAAAAGCGCGAAAUUGAGGAUCUUCGGAAACAGCUAGCCAGAGCUAAAGAAGAACGCACACUUGAAGAGACGAAACGAGAACUUAGUGAUCAGUGGGCAAAUCAUUUAGAAAGAAACGUUGAAGAGCUUCGUGCAUCCAAGAAAAGGUGCUAUGACAAAUCUAUAGAAUGUGCUAAGAAAAUAAAAUCCAGCUUCGCCAGCGUUGGCGCAUUCUCGAGCAAAGAAAACUUCACAAGGGACAACCCCGAAGGCCCGAUUGAAUGGAUUAGUCACGAAGCUGAGGCCUUUGAGGAAAUUUUGAAUAGCCGCGGAGACAUAUGUGCCUUUUCGGGUGCCAGGGGGAUUGCUACUAUUUUGGAGAGGAAAGGCUGUGAGCAUGUGAAAUUUUUGGCACAAUUCGAAACUGCCUUAUCCUCCGAAGAUAUAAAAGACCCCUCGGCCGAAGCAAGCCUGGUCGGUGGAAAAUUUUUCACCGACGUCUGGGACAAUGGUGGCGGGAAAUGGCCCAAGAAAUUAUUCAAAAAAGCGAAAAAGGCAUCCAUGAUGCUAGAAAAGUAGCAGAGGCCGCUGAGAAAAGCGCAGAGCCCGAAGGGCAAAUAGGUAUUAAUUAGUGGUUUUUGACUCUUCGUUGUAAUUUUUUGAUUUCGAACUUGUUCACGGUUUGUAAUAGUAAUAUAUCCGUAUCUUCUCUUCCCUCAGAACCUGCUGAGCUAUCUCCGGGCCCCCACACGAAGGGGGAUGACGAAAUUAGACAAAUGGCCGAAGCCAUAAUGGAUAAAGUUGUUGAUCAGCUACUAAACGAAGCUGCAGAAGUAGUCCUAAGGGAAGAUUAGAUGCUGUUGUAAAAACAUUUAGAAUGUAAUGUUUGUUGAGAAUCAUGUGUAAUAUUGUGCAACUUUGGAUGUAAUAUAUUAGCUGUUUAUAAUUCUAUUUUUUACGAUGCAUGAAACAUCAUAUACAUACCGUUUUUGAGCCUUCGGCGAAAAAACACCUUCCCUUCUUUUCAUGCUUCGUAAAAAUCAGUAAUCAAUCCUCGUAAAAUCAAUAAUCAAUAGAUCCUUCCAUUUCAGAGUUUGACGAAGGUAUAACUUUUCAAUGGCUAUUUUUGUGCCUUGUCACUAUUUCUUCAAAACAAUCUUCGAAUAUCAAUAUCGAGACCCCCCUUCUUGCGUUGUUGAUGCACUAUGAUGUAUGAUGUUAUGCUAUGCAAAUGAUGUAAUGAUGUGAUGUUGUGCAAAAUGAUAUUUGCCGAAGGUUGACAUUUAUUUUUCACUGUAAGCCUCCCUUAGGAGCUUCUUCGCCUUUUACUUCAGCGGAAUCAGCGUUUAUUUUUCGCUGUAAGCCUCCCUUAGGAGCUUCUUCGCCUUUUACUUUCAGCGGAAUCAGCGCUUAUUUUUCGCUGUAAGCCUCCCUUAGGAGCUUCUUCGCCUUUUACUUUCAGCGGAAUCAGCGUUUAUUUUUCACUGUAAGCCUCCCUUAGGAGCUUCUUCGCCUUUUACUUUCAGCGGAAUCAGCGUUUAUUUUUCGCUGUAAGCUCUGCAUUCCCUUCGGAACGACUUUUGAGCAGAAAACUUACACUGCGCUCCCUUAGGAACGACUUUUUGCUGCUUCGAAGAAAUUGCACUGCGUUCCUUAGAACAAAUUUUUGAUAAUUCGAAGGUCCUCCGUGCCACCAUAAAUUCUUAUGCUUCGGCAACUCAAGCCUAUGGAGAAGAUAUAUUUUCAUUAUGGUAAAAAGCGAAACUGUUACAAGAGAUUGAAAAACGAUAAAAAACACUUAAACUUCCCAUAAUUGUUCCUUAUUAAAAAGAAAGUAAUACUGAAUGCGAAAAUGCGAAAAGCUGCUGUCGAGGUAGGAUAUUUGUCAGUAAAUGUGCUUCGACUCUGGCACAGUGCUAUUGACUGUGCGAGCUUCGGACUCUUCUCUGAAGUCCCGCUGGAGGUGAGUGUGCUGACUCCCUUCUGGCUGCUGACCUCGUUGUGUUGGUGAUUGCCUACAUAUUCUGGAAUGUAAGGCGAAUGGUACGAAGCAGUAUGCAUGACCUGCUUCGGCUGACUCUGUUGUGCUGCAGCUUCUGCUAUCUCCUUUUGCUUCUGGAUGGUAACAUGGCACAUCCUGGUGGUAUGGCCCUUGUCUUCACCACAGAAUAAGCAGUAAAUUUUCUUGGUUGAUCCCCAAAUCUUCCCCCGAAGCCCCUGGCGCCUCUGCCCCUUGGCGCUGGCGGUCGGAAAGAACUUUGCUGCUGCCCCGAAGCUUGCGAGGAGUACUGUGGCCUUUGCUGUUGACUCCCUCUAUCAUCACUUUGAGUAGAAUUGUGAAUUGACCUGACGUGCCUCGGAUGGAAUCUUCCUCCGAAGCCCCUGGUCAUUUCAGAGAACCUGAAUGCUUCCUCCCUUCUUUGGCGAAAGUCAUUGUCAGCUCGAAUAUACUCGUCCAUCUUCUGGAGCAGCUUCUCCAAAGUUUGAGGAGGCUUCCUGGCAAAGUAUUGAGCUGAAGGUCCCGGCCGAAGUCCCUUAAUCAUGGCCUCAAUGACAAUUUCAUUGGGCACUGUUGGUGCCUGUGCCCUCAGACGCAGGAACCUUCGGACAUACGCCUGAAGGUAUUCUUCGUGGUCCUGGGUGCACUGGAAUAAAGCUUGAGCAGUGACCGGCUUCGUCUGAAACCCUUGGAAGCUAGUUAUCAACAUGUCCUUCAGCUUUUGCCAUGAGGUGAUUGUUCCUGGCCGAAGAGAGGAGUACCAGGUUUGUGCAACACUCUUGACGGCCAUGACAAAAGACUUUGCCAUGACUGCAGUAUUGCCACCAUACGAAGAUAUGGUUGCUUCAUAGCUCAUCAAGAAUUGCUUCGGGUCUGAAUGACCGUCGUACAUGGGGAGCUGGGGUGGCUUGUAAGACUGGGGCCAUGGUGUAGCCUGCAGUUCUGUUGACAGAGGAGAAGCAUCAUCAAAAGCAAAAUUUCCAUGAUGGAAAUCUUCAUACCAGUCGUCCUCGUUGUAGAAGCCCUCCUGAUGAAGCUCUCUGCGCGGAGGCCUUCGGUCAGCUAGACGAGCCAUCUUUUCCUUCUUUCGUUGAACCUGUUGGUGGAGCAUCUCCAAGUUUUGGAUUUCUUGAUCCAAGUCAUCCUCCGGAGGCGUUGGACUGGUGGCCUUCCUCUUCUGGCUUCGGGCCUCCCUAAGAGAAAGGACAUCCUGAUUGGGAUCCAGCGGCUGUAGAGUGGCAGCCCCUGUGGCUGAAGCUUUCUUCGGCGGCAUGACGAAGGUGAUGCUUGCCGAAGGUGUUCAAAACUCAAAAAAUGGACGUGAGUUCACCGGAGGUGGGCGCCAAUGUUGGGGACUUGUUCUCAAAUGCUAAGAGUUAAGAACAAGGCAACAUAAAAAGUGUUAAAUGUUAAAGUCCUUCGUCCUUCAAAACAUUAUGUCCCUUCGGAUAUAAUGAAUUCCGGACGAAGGUUAUGAAGGAAAAACCCUUCGCAAGCUCGAUAGAUGAUAAGAAAGAAUUCAUACAUGAAAUACGAAUAAUAAUACAGAUAUUAUCAUCAACUCAUUUUUAUUUGCAUUAUCAUAUUUGUAAUAACAAAUUAUAAAUGUACCUUCGAAUUGACGGAAAGCAAAGGUACAAGCGUGAUGUAAAAAGCGAAUGCCAAGUCAGCCUGAACAGUACGGGAGUACUGUUCAUCUAUUUAUAGGCGCGGGACGCAGCCCGUGUAGAAUUACAUUAAUGCCCUUUACAUUUAUCAAUAACUCUAUAAUAAUUCUUCGAGGUCUAAUUUGGCUUUUCAUCUUUAAGUCGGUUCCUCUUUUCUGCCGUCAUGCCGAAGCUUUUCUGCGCAUAGCUUCGUGAUCAUCUUAUCCUUCGUCAUGAUCGCCUUCCGUCCCACUCAAGCUUCGUCUUGACCAGACACUUGUAUACCCAUAAUCUGACGUCCGAAGAUACCUGUUCACAUAUUUCACUUGGAAAACAUUGUCAAAUCAUGUUUUUGAGGACCUUCGGAAGCCGAAGGCCCCCAACACCUCACAUAUGUUUCCUUGCCAUAGAUCACAUUCUUGGAUUUAUGGUGGAGACCAUUUCUUGGUCAAAAAUCCGUAGGUGUUAGCCUUCCGUGUCAUUGAAAAUGGUCGUUCAUGGCUAUUUUCGACAAAAAUGGGGGUUGUGUGGCCAUUGAUCAUCGACCAGAGGCUCGUACACUUUACCCCACAUAUGUUUUCUUGCCAUUGAUCACAUUCUUGGAUUUCUGGUGGAGACCAUUUCAUGGUCAAAAAUCCGUACGUGUUAGCCUUCGGUAUUAUUGAAAAUGGUCAUUCAUGGCUAUUUUCGACAAAAAUGGGGGUUGUGUGGCCAUUGAUCAUUGACCAGAGGCUCAUAAACCUCACCCCACAUAUGUUUCCUUGCCAUAGAUAACAUUCUUUUAUUUCUGGUGGAGACCAUUUCUUAGUCAAAAAUCCGAAUGUGUUAGCCUUCGGUACUAUUGAAAAUGGUCGUUCAUGGCUAUCUUCGACAAAAAUAAGGGUUGUGUGGCCAUUGAUAUUCGACCAGAGGCUCAUACACCUCACUACAAAUAUGUUUCCUUGCCAUAGAUCACAUUCUUGGAUUUAUGGUGGAGACCAUUUCUUGGUCAAAAAUCUGUGAGUGUUAGCCUUCAACGUCAUUGAAAAUGGUCGUUCAUGGCUAUUUUCGACAAAAAUGGGGGUUGUGUGGCCAUUGAUCAUCGACCAGAGGCUCGUACACCUCACCCCACAUAUGUUUCCUUGCCAUAGAUCACAUUCUUGGAUUUCUGGUGGAGACCAUUUCUUGGGCAAAAAUCUGAAUGUGUUAGCCUUCGGUAUUAUUGAAAAUGGUCAUUCAUGGCUAUUUUCGAGAAAAAUGGGGGUUGUUUGGCCAUUGAUCUUCGACCAGAGGCUCAUACACCUCACUACACAUAUGUUUCCUUGCCAUAGAUCACAUUCUUGGAUUUAUGGUGGAGACCAUUUCUUGGUCAAAAUUCCGGAGGUGUUAGCCUUCAGUGUCAUUGAAAAUGGUCGUUCAUGGCUAUUUUCGACAAAAAUGGGGGUUGUGUGGCCAUUGAUCAUCGACCAGAGGCUCGUACACCUCACCCCACAUAUGUUUCCUUGCCAUAGAUCACAUUCUUGGAUUUCUGGUGGAGACCAUUUCUUGGUCAAAAAUCCAUACGUGUUAGCCUUCUGUAUUAUUGAAAAUGGUCGUUGAUCGCUAUUUUAGACAAAAAUGGGCGUUGUGUGGCCAUUGAUCAUCGACCAGAGGCCCAUACACCUCACCCCACAUAUGUUUCCUUGCCAUAGAUCACAUUCUUGGAUUUAUGGUGGAGACCAAUUCUUGGUCAAAAAUCCGUAGGUGUUAGCCUUCAGUGUCAUUGAAAAUGGUCGUUCAUGGCUAUUUUCGACAAAAAUGGGGGUUGUGUGGCCAUUGAUCAUCGACCAGAGGCUCGUACACCUCACCCCACAUAUGUUUCCUUGCCAUAGAUCACAUUUUGGAUUUCUGGUGGAGAACAUUUCUUGGUCAAAAAUCCGUAGGUGUUAGCCUUCGGUAUUAUUGAAAAUGGUCGUUCAUGGCUAUUUUCGACAAAAAUGGGGGUUGUGUGGCCAUUGAUCAUCGACCAGAGGCUCAUACACCUCACCCCACGUAUGUUUCCUUGCCAUAGAUCACAUUCUUGGAUUUCUGGUGGAGACCAUUUCUUGGUCAAAAAUCCGUAGGUGUUAGCCUUCGGUAUUAUUGAAAAUGGUCGUUCAUGGCUAUUUUCGUCUAAAAUGGGGGUUGUGUGGCCAUUGAUCAUCGACCAGAGGCUCGUACACUUUACCCCACAUAUGUUUUCUUGCCAUUGAUCACAUUCUUGGAUUUCUGGUGGAGACCAUUUCUUGGUCAAAAAUCCGUACGUGUUAGCCUUCGGUAUUAUUGAAAAUGGUCAUUCAUGGCUAUUUUCGACAAAAAUGGGGGUUGUGUGGCCAUUGAUCAUUGACCAGAGGCUCAUAAACCUCACCCCACAUAUGUUUCCUUGCCAUAGAUCACAUUCUUUGAUUUCUGGUGGAGACCAUUUCUUAGUCAAAAAUCCGAAUGUGUUAGCCUUCGGUACUAUUGAAAAUGGUCGUUCAUGGCUAUCUUCGACAAAAAUAAGGGUUGUGUGGCCAUUGAUAUUCGACCAGAGGCUCAUACACCUCACUACAAAUAUGUUUCCUUGCCAUAGAUCACAUUCUUGGAUUUAUGGUGGAGACCAUUUCUUGGUCAAAAAUCUGUGAGUGUUAGCCUUCAACGUCAUUGAAAAUGGUCGUUCAUGGCUAUUUUCGACAAAAAUGGGGGUUGUGUGGCCAUUGAUCAUCGACCAGAGGCUCGUACACCUCACCCCACAUAUGUUUCCUUGCCAUAGAUCACAUUCUUGGAUUUCUGGUGGAGAACAUUUCUUGGUCAAAAAUCCGUAGGUGUUAGCCUUCGGUAUUAUUGAAAAUGGUCGUUCAUGGCUAUUUUCGACAAAAAUGGGGGUUGUGUGGCCAUUGAUCAUCGACCAGAGGCUCAUACACCUCACCCCACGUAUGUUUCCUUGCCAUAGAUCACAUUCUUGGAUUUCUGGUGGAGACCAUUUCUUGGUCAAAAAUCCGUAGGUGUUAGCCUUCGGUAUUAUUGAAAAUGGUCGUUCAUGGCUAUUUUCGUCUAAAAUGGGGGUUGUGUGGCCAUUGAUCAUCGACCAGAGGCUCGUACACUUACCCCACAUAUGUUUCUUGCCAUGAUCACAUUCUUGGAUUUCUGGUGGAGACCAUUUCUUGGUCAAAAAUCCGUACGUGUUAGCCUUCGUAUUAUUGAAAAUGGUCAUUCAUGGCUAUUUUCGACAAAAAUGGGGGUUGUGUGGCCAUUGAUCAUCGACCAGAGGCUCAUAACCUCACCCCACAUAUGUUUCCUUGCCAUAGAUCACAUUCUUGAUUUCUGGUGGAGACCAUUUCUUGUCAAAAAUCCGAUGUGUUAGCCUUCGGUACUAUUGAAAAUGGUCGUUCAUGGCUAUUUCGACAAAAAUGGGGUUGUGUGGCCAUUGAUAUCGACCAGAGGCUCAUACACCUCACCACAUAUGUUUCCUUGCCAUAGAUCACAUUCUUGGAUUUAUGGUGGAGACCAUUUCUUGGUCAAAAAUCUGUAGUGUUAGCCUUCAGUCAUUGAAAAUGGUCGUUCAUGGCUAUUUUCGACAAAAAUGGGGGUUGUGUGGCCAUUGAUCAUCGACCAGAGGCUCGUACACCUCACCCCACAUAUGUUUCCUUGCCAUAGAUCACAUUCUUGGAUUUCUGGUGGAGACCAUUUCUUGGUCAAAAAUCCGAAGUGUUAGCCUUCGGUAUUAUUGAAAAUGGUCGUUCAUGGCUAUUUUCGACAAAAAUGGGGGUUGUGUGGCCAUUGAUCAUUCGACCAGAGGCUCAUACACCUCACACACAUAUGUUUCCUUGCCAUAGAUCACAUUCUUGGAUUUAUGGUGGAGACCAUUUCUUGGUCAAAAAUCCGUAGGUGUUAGCCUUCAGUUAUUGAAAAUGGUCGUUCAUGGCUAUUUUCGACAAAAAUGGGGGUUGUGUGGCCAUUGAUCAUCGACCAGAGGCUCGUACACCUCACCCCACAUAUGUUUCCUUGCCAUAGAUCACAUUCUUGGAUUUCUGGUGGAGACCAUUUCUUGGUCAAAAAUCCGUAGUGUUAGCCUUCGUAUUAUUGAAAAUGGUCGUUCAUGGCUAUUUUCGACAAAAAUGGGGUUGUGUGGCCAUUGAUCAUCGACCAGAGGCUCAUACACCUCACCCCACAUAUGUUUCCUUGCCAUAGAUCACAUUCUUGGAUUUAUGGUGGAGACCAUUUCUUGGUCAAAAAUCCGUAGGUGUUAGCCUUCGAUAUUAUUGAAAAUGGUCGUUCAUGGCUAUUUUCGACAAAAAUGGGGGUUGUGUGGCCAUUGAUCAUCGACCAGAGGCUCGUACACCUCACCCCACAUAUGUUUCCUUGCCAUAGAUCACAUUCUUGGAUUUCUGGUGGAGACCAUUUCUUGGUCAAAAAUCCGUAGGUGUUAGCCUUCGGUAUUAUUGAAAAUGGUCGUUCAUGGCUAUUUUCGACAAAAAUGGGGGUUGUGUGGCCAUUGAUCAUCGACCAGAGGCUCAUACACCUCACCCCACAUAUGUUUCCUUGCCAUAGAUCACAUUCUUGGAUUUCUGGUGGAGACCAUUUCUUGGUCAAAAAUCCGUAGGUGUUAGCCUUCGGUAUUAUUGAAAAUGGUCGUUCAUGGCUAUUUUCGACAAAAAUGGGGGUUGUGUGGCCAUUGAUCAUCGACCAGAGGCUCGUACACCUCACCUCACAUAUGUUUCCUUGCCAUAGAUCACAUUCUUGGAUUUAUGGUGGAGACCAUUUCUUGGUCAAAAAUCCGUAGGUGUUAGCCUUCCGUGUCAUUGAAAAUGGUCGUUCAUGGCUAUUUUCGACAAAAAUGGGGGUUGUGUGGCCAUUGAUCAUCGACCAGAGGCUCGUACACCUCACCCCACAUAUGUUUCCUUGCCAUAGAUCACAUUCUUGGAUUUCUGGUGGAGACCAUUUCUUGGUCAAAAAUCCGAUGUGUUAGCCUUCGGUAUUAUUGAAAAUGGUCGUUCAUGGCUAUUUUCGACAAAAAUGGGGUUGUGUGGCCAUUGAUCAUCGACCAGAGGCUCAUACACCUCACCCACAUAUGUUUCCUUGCCAUAGAUCACAUUCUUGGAUUUAUGGUGGAGACCAUUUCUUGGUCAAAAAUCCGUAGUGUUAGCCUUCGUGUCAUUGAAAAUGGUCGUUCAUGGCUAUUUUCGACAAAAAUGGGGGUUGUGUGGCCAUUGAUCAUCGACCAGAGGCUCGUACACCUCACCCCACAUAUGUUUCCUUGCCAUAGAUCACAUUCUUGGAUUUCUGGUGGAGACCAUUUCUUGGUCAAAAAUCCGUAGUGUUAGCCUUCGGUAUUAUUGAAAAUGGUCGUUCAUGGCUAUUUUCGACAAAAAUGGGGUUGUGUGGCCAUUGAUCAUCGACCAGAGGCUCAUACACCUCACCCACAUAUGUUUCCUUGCCAUAGAUCACAUUCUUGGAUUUAUGGUGGAGACCAUUUCUUGGUCAAAAAUCCGUAGGUGUUAGCCUUCAGUGUCAUUGAAAAUGGUCGUUCAUGGCUAUUUUCGACAAAAAUGGGGGUUGUGUGGCCAUUGAUCAUCGACCAGAGGCUCGUACACCUCACCCCACAUAUGUUUCCUUGCCAUAGAUCACAUUCUUGGAUUUCUGGUGGAGACCAUUUCUUGGUCAAAAAUCCGAUGUGUUAGCCUUCGGUAUUAUUGAAAAUGGUCGUUCAUGGCUAUUUUCGACAAAAAUGGGGUUGUGUGGCCAUUGAUCAUCGACCAGAGGCUCAUACACCUCACCCACAUAUGUUUCCUUGCCAUAGAUCACAUUCUUGGAUUUAUGGUGGAGACCAUUUCUUGGUCAAAAAUCCGUAGGUGUUAGCCUUCAGUGUCAUUGAAAAUGGUCGUUCAUGGCUAUUUUCGACAAAAAUGGGGGUUGUGUGGCCAUUGAUCAUCGACCAGAGGCUCGUACACCUCACCCCACAUAUGUUUCCUUGCCAUAGAUCACAUUCUUGGAUUUCUGGUGGAGACCAUUUCUUGGUCAAAAAUCCGUAGGUGUUAGCCUUCGGUAUUAUUGAAAAUGGUCGUUCAUGGCUAUUUUCGACAAAAAUGGGGGUUGUGUGGCCAUUGAUCAUCGACCAGAGGCUCAUACACCUCACCCCACAUAUGUUUCCUUGCCAUAGAUCACAUUCUUGGAUUUCUGGUGGAGACCAUUUCUUGGUCAAAAAUCCGUAGGUGUUAGCCUUCGGUAUUAUUGAAAAUGGUCGUUCAUGGCUAUUUUCGACAAAAAUGGGGGUUGUGUGGCCAUUGAUCAUCGACCAGAGGCUCAUACACCUCACCCCACAUAUGUUUCCUUGCCAUAGAUCACAUUCUUGGAUUUCUGGUGGAGACCAUUUCUUGGUCAAAAAUCCGUAGGUGUUAGCCUUCGUAUUAUUGAAAAUGGUCGUUCAUGGCUAUUUUCGACAAAAAUGGGGUUGUGUGGCCAUUGAUCAUCGACCAGAGGCUCAUACACCUCACCCCACAUAUGUUUCCUUGCCAUAGAUCACAUUCUUGGAUUUCUGGUGGAGACCAUUUCUUGGUCAAAAAUCCGUAGGUGUUAGCCUUCGGUAUUAUUGAAAAUGGUCGUUCAUGGCUAUUUUCGACAAAAAUGGGGUUGUGUGGCCAUUGAUCAUCGACCAGAGGCUCGUACACCUCACCCACAUAUGUUUCCUUGCCAUAGAUCACAUUCUUGGAUUUCUGGUGGAGACCAUUUCUUGGUCAAAAAUCCGUAGUGUUAGCCUUCGUAUUAUUGAAAAUGGUCGUUCAUGGCUAUUUUCGACAAAAAUGGGGGUUGUGUGGCCAUUGAUCAUCGACCAGAGGCUCAUACACCUCACCCCACAUAUGUUUCCUUGCCAUAGAUCACAUUCUUGGAUUUCUGGUGGAGACCAUUUCUUGGUCAAAAAUCCGUAUGUGUUAGCCUUCGGUAUUAUUGAAAAUGGUCGUUCAUGGCUAUUUUCGACAAAAAUGGGGUUGUGUGGCCAUUGAUCAUCGACCAGAGGCUCAUACACCUCACCCACAUAUGUUUCCUUGCCAUAGAUCACAUUCUUGGAUUUCUGGUGGAGACCAUUUCUUGGUCAAAAAUCCGUAGUGUUAGCCUUCAGUAUUAUUGAAAAUGGUCGUUCAUGGCUAUUUUCGACAAAAAUGGGGGUUGUGUGGCCAUUGAUCAUCGACCAGAGGCUCGUACACCUCACCCCACAUAUGUUUCCUUGCCAUAGAUCACAUUCUUGGAUUUCUGGUGGAGACCAUUUCUUGGUCAAAAAUCCGAUGUGUUAGCCUUCGGUAUUAUUGAAAAUGGUCGUUCAUGGCUAUUUUCGACAAAAAUGGGGUUGUGUGGCCAUUGAUCAUCGACCAGAGGCUCAUACACCUCACCCACAUAUGUUUCCUUGCCAUAGAUCACAUUCUUGGAUUUAUGGUGGAGACCAUUUCUUGGUCAAAAAUCCGUAGGUGUUAGCCUUCAGUUUAUUGAAAAUGGUCGUUCAUGGCUAUUUUCGACAAAAAUGGGGGUUGUGUGGCCAUUGAUCAUCGACCAGAGGCUCGUACACCUCACCCCACAUAUGUUUCCUUGCCAUAGAUCACAUUCUUGGAUUUCUGGUGGAGACCAUUUCUUGGUCAAAAAUCCGUAGUGUUAGCCUUCGGUAUUAUUGAAAAUGGUCGUUCAUGGCUAUUUUCGACAAAAAUGGGGUUGUGUGGCCAUUGAUCAUCGACCAGAGGCUCAUACACCUCACCCCACAUAUGUUUCCUUGCCAUAGAUCACAUUCUUGGAUUUCUGGUGGAGACCAUUUCUUGGUCAAAAAUCCGUAGGUGUUAGCCUUCGUAUUAUUGAAAAUGGUCGUUCAUGGCUAUUUUCGACAAAAAUGGGGGUUGUGUGGCCAUUGAUCAUCGACCAGAGGCUCAUACACCUCACCCCACAUAUGUUUCCUUGCCAUAGAUCACAUUCUUGGAUUUCUGGUGGAGACCAUUUCUUGGUCAAAAAUCCGUAGGUGUUAGCCUUCGGUAUUAUUGAAAAUGGUCGUUCAUGGCUAUUUUCGACAAAAAUGGGGGUUGUGUGGCCAUUGAUCAUCGACCAGAGGCUCAUACACCUCACCCACAUAUGUUUCCUUGCCAUAGAUCACAUUCUUGGAUUUCUGGUGGAGACCAUUUCUUGGUCAAAAAUCCGUAGGUGUUAGCCUUCGGUAUUAUUGAAAAUGGUCGUUCAUGGCUAUUUUCGACAAAAAUGGGGGUUGUGUGGCCAUUGAUCAUCGACCAGAGGCUCGUACACCUCACCCCACAUAUGUUUCCUUGCCAUAGAUCACAUUCUUGGAUUUCUGGUGGAGACCAUUUCUUGGUCAAAAAUCCGUAGGUGUUAGCCUUCGGUAUUAUUGAAAAUGGUCGUUCAUGGCUAUUUUCGACAAAAAUGGGGGUUGUGUGGCCAUUGAUCAUCGACCAGAGGCUCGUACACCUCACCCCACAUAUGUUUCCUUGCCAUAGAUCACAUUCUUGGAUUUCUGGUGGAGACCAUUUCUUGGUCAAAAAUCCGUAGGUGUUAGCCUUCAGUAUUAUUGAAAAUGGUCGUUCAUGGCUAUUUUCGACAAAAAUGGGGGUUGUGUGGCCAUUGAUCAUCGACCAGAGGCUCGUACACCUCACCCCACAUAUGUUUCCUUGCCAUAGAUCACAUUCUUGGAUUUCUGGUGGAGACCAUUUCUUGGUCAAAAAUCCGUAGGUGUUAGCCUUCGUAUUAUUGAAAAUGGUCGUUCAUGGCUAUUUUCGACAAAAAUGGGGUUGUGUGGCCAUUGAUCAUCGACCAGAGGCUCAUACACCUCACCCCACAUAUGUUUCCUUGCCAUAGAUCACAUUCUUGGAUUUCUGGUGGAGACCAUUUCUUGGUCAAAAAUCCGUAGGUGUUAGCCUUCGUAUUAUUGAAAAUGGUCGUUCAUGGCUAUUUUCGACAAAAAUGGGGUUGUGUGGCCAUUGAUCAUCGACCAGAGGCUCAUACACCUCACCCCACAUAUGUUUCCUUGCCAUAGAUCACAUUCUUGGAUUUCUGGUGGAGACCAUUUCUUGGUCAAAAAUCCGUAGGUGUUAGCCUUCAGUGUCAUUGAAAAUGGUCGUUCAUGGCUAUUUUCGACAAAAAUGGGGGUUGUGUGGCCAUUGAUGAUCGACCAGAGGCUCGUACACCUCACCCCACAUAUGUUUCCUUGCCAUAGAUCACAUUCUUGGAUUUCUGGUGGAGACCAUUUCUUGGUCAAAAAUCCGUAGGUGUUAGCCUUCGGUAUUAUUGUAAAUGGUCGUUCAUGGCUAUUUUCGACAAAAAUGGGGGUUGUGUGGCCAUUGAUCAUCGACCAGAGGCUCAUACACCUCACCCCACAUAUGUUUCCUUGCCAUAGAUCACAUUCUUGGAUUUCUGGUGGAGACCAUUUCUUGGUCAAAAAUCCGUAGGUGUUAGCCUUCAGUAUUAUUGAAAAUGGUCGUUCAUGGCUAUUUUCGACAAAAAUGGGGUUGUGUGGCCAUUGAUCAUCGACCAGAG